GGACGCAGCACCCGAUCCAUGAGAUGCUGAAACGUGGCCGGGGCCCCAAACAAGUGUGGUAAAUUGGUACAAACCGUACGGGGUGGAGAAUGCCGUUUUCUCCUUGGACUCUGGCGACAGAGGAAUCUGCCAGUAGCCCUUGGUUAAAUCCAGUGUCGUGAAGAAACGUGCAGUGCCUAGCCGGUCCAGGAGUUCGUCGACCCGGGGCAUUGGGUAAGCAUCGAACCGUGACACGUCAUUCACCCUGCAAUAGUCCACGCAGAACCGUACAGAUCCAUCCUUCUUAGCCACAAGGACGAUGGGGCUGCACCAGGCACUGUUGGACUCUUCUAUUACCCCCAACUCCAACAUACUAGCCAAUUCCCUCCGAACCACUUCUUUCCACUGCUUCAAUUGAUCAAAUGUCUGAAGUGUAUUCCCAUACACAUUCACACACAUAAUAAAACUAGUUUUAUAUGGUCAUCUACACAUACAUAUUAUACAUAAGCUUAUACGCAUGAAUAGGAUAUAUGAACUGUAUCAAUUUGAUUCUUUUGGCUUGUUUUUAUUUACAUACUCUGAAAGAGUUGAGAUCAUGAUUCUCAUUGGAGGAUGAUGCAUGCAUGAAGCGUCAUGAAAGAAGGCACAUUUAAAGAAAUAUAAUCGGAUUAGAGUAACGAGGCACUUAAAAUGAGCCUAUACAUUUUACCAACACGCAUUUAACGUUAACUUGUCUGCGAUACUUUGUUGGGCUUGUAGCCUCGCUACAAGGAGCGGUGUCAGUUUUUGCCAUGACUAUAAUUAAUUUCAUAUCGCACAUUUGCCUGAGGUCUUUACAGUCUGUACACAUGUGACAUCCUCUGUCCCGAAACCCUCAGCACAGGACAAACUCCCCAAACAAUGACAAGCCCUUUAAAGGUUUCUUCCCUUUAUUCUCCCCAUCAGAGAGACACAGGAGUAUCCUCCCCGGGAUGGACAGACUGAGAUGGACUUACUGAAUGAACAACGUAAAAUAUGUAUAAUACGUUCAAUUCAUGCGACAAAUGAUUCAAAUUAACAUCUCAUCAUAUGAGUGGAGAAAAGUGUAUUUGCUGUUAUACUGUUAAAAUAUCCUGGUUUUCGGUGAUCGAUUCUUCCGCAUUCCCUGAUGACUGACAGCUGGUUCAAACUAACGAGACUGUCCCCCUCACACCUGAAACCCAUCAGGGUAUGACGACCUGAAGGCCUUCAUAAGGGUGGGAGACACACCAUUGAGGGGAAGAGAGAGAUGAGCUGCAGGUUCGGCCUGAUGCAAAAGACCAGACCAAUACAGGGACUGAGAAGACGAGGCAUUAUUUAAGUUUUACCGGCGAAGAGCGACCGAAGCCCAAGUUGCAGGCUGGCCUUCAGCGAAACAAACUACCUGGGGUACACCAUUGAAAGGGGUUUGGUCAAGCCCCAGGAAGCCAAGUUGCGGGCCAUACAGGACUGGCCACAGCCCAUCACCAAGAAACAGGUGGUCAUUUUUAGGCCUAGCCGGCUACUAUCCACGUUUUAUUAUGGAUUUUGCUACCAUAGCAGCCCCUCUAACAGAACUGACUCCCUCUGAGGCUCACUGAAUGGUGAGGUGGAACCCUGCGGCGGAGGCGGCCUUCAGCAACCUGAAGCGAGCUCUGUGCUCUGGUCCAGUCCUGGUGGCACCAGACUUCCAGAAGGAAUUAAUCGUCCAGGCGGACGCUUCAGAGGGCUGGCAAGAGCCACAGCAAUGCGGAUGCGCUCUCCAGACGUGACGCCUUCUGCACCUCCUUCACCCCGACGAGGACGUCAGUCUCGAGGGGGGGUGUGUGUGAUGUCACGAGAGGCUGGGUCUUGGAAGGGAGGGUCAAAACCGAGAUAUCAGUCGAAUGGAAAACAAAUCCAAAAAGGGGGCACGCAAAAAUCCAUUGACUUUUCCCUGCACAGUUUGAAGAAUGCCAAGGGGUCCCAGGGCCACUGUCCUACCUGAAAGGCAGGGGAGGAGAUGAGAUGGGGAGCGACUGGAGAAAGCCGCAGGGCAAGAAGAGCGGAGACGUUCAGGGGCAACGGGCAAAGGAGGACUGGGAGUGAGAGCCACAAAUGACAGAAAAGGUUCCGUCUGCCUGUGCCUCCCCUUGGUGAUUGAAGAGAUGAGCAGAAUAACCAUUUAAUUGUGAAUCUAUUUCUUGUGUGAAUUUAUCAAUGAUAUUGUCUUAAAAAUCACAGAUAGAUCCUGGAAAUGUUGAAUUUUUACAUUUUGUCACCUAGUUUUUUUCGCCCUGUUCACCUAUCCACUAACUCUAUAGUCCUUUCAGAUCCAUUCUCCGCCCCAGUGAACACUUGCGUGCACUUCCCUCACUUGAUACUCCCGCCCUGCUCACCUGCAGCUCGUUCCCACAUUACUCAUUCACUAUUUAGGUUCACUCACUUGCACCUGCCUCUUGCCACAUUGUAUUGUGUCCCUGCCAAGUUCUUCAGCAUGACAUUGCAGUCUGUCUCUGACCUUUUUCCUCUGACCCCUGGCUGCUGUUUUUUUACCUUCAAUUCUCUGCCUGCUCCUUUUCUUUGGUUUGCCUGUGUGACUGAUAUCCUGGUUUGCACCCUGCCUGUCAACCAAGCAAACCCACUUUGACAUAUUGUGCAUUUGGGUCAGACUACAGCUUAAACUUAGGUUUGUUUAUUCAAACACAAAUUUAACAGACCCUUGAUGUUCACACACCUCAUUUUCUUUUGCAUGUUUGUAAAAUGACCAGAAUAUCUUAUCGCUAUUGAAGAAGAAAAAGCAGACAACCACAGUUCGCUGUUGAUUUGACAAAGAAUGUUUGAUGUUUAUAUAAAAAAAAUGGAAAUUGAGCAAUCUGGGAUCCUGUCUACGAGAAGGGUCUCUUUUACCAGCUCCAGCAGACAAAGGCCCCACUCACACACCUUUUGUCUUAUUACCGUAAAUAGCCGGCGGGCUAGCUAACGCCCUGAGGAAGAUCCUCCAUUUGAGUGUCUUCCACUACCAAGGACCCGAUUUAAUGGUGAUAAGAGGUGGUGAAAUGGUUCAAACAUAAUACCUAAGUUAACACUGACAUUUAAAAAAACGAAAACAUUCCACUUGAAUGUUUGUACAGUCAGCUACAGACCGUGGAUCACUUUACCUGUGGACAGAACAGGAUAGCAGCUUUCCUAUUCGAAGUGCAGUGCUCAGAUCAGCUGGCCGGAUACAACAAUGUUAGAAUACAACAACACACAGGAAUACGGUGGAUAUACCGUAAAUCACAGACUAUAGAGCGCACCUGAAUAUAUGCAGCACCACCUAAAUUUAGAACGAAAAAAAGAUGUGCACAUAUAUACGCACCGGCCUAUAAACCGCAAGUGUCCACUCCAGUGACGUGCGGUCGCUGGAGGCAGUGCCUCCCCUUGUGUCAUCAUGAAAUAUGAAAAAAAAAAAUGUAUAUAUAUAUUUGUCCACUGAUCUGUGAUAGAUUAGAUUCAACUUUAUUGUCAUUGCACAAGUACUGAGGCAACGAAAUGCAGUUUAACAUCCAACCAGAGUGCAAAAUAGCAAAAAAUGUGCCAGUGUAAUUAUUAUGUGAAGUGAGUAUGUGAAGUGUAAUUAUUAGAUCAAUCAAUGCGAUCAUUGUUAUAGUUUAAAUGAAUUUGUAUUUUCAGCGACUAGCUGCGCCUCCUUCUCGGAUUGUGCAAUCCCUCAUAAACCAGAUUGAGCUGCUCAUGUUUUUGCCCAAUUUCAGCACGUGCAAUUAAUGUCUCUAUAUGUCACCAAUGUAAUGUUUGUAUCACAUGUCCUCACUCCCCAUAGUCUGGGUCCUGUAUUUCACGCAUGUUAGCUAAUCUGACGUAACGGCGCAGUAAGGAGGCAGCUGGACUGGCAGCUUUCUGCUUGUCACUGUUGUGGAGGCGGAGUCAGUACCUCUGCCUGUCUGAAGGGGGCGUGUGUGAGCACACGGGAUCCUUCCGCUGUUGUUUUUCUUCACGUAUCACAGACUGAUAGCAUAGUUAGCAUGUGCUAACUUAAUCACAGAUUUUCAAUAAUAAUGAAGUUUGCUUUCAAAGAAGUUCAUGUACUCUAUGUAAAGGUGUGUGCAUAUGAAGCUGUUCAAGUCCAGUUCCAGGCCUUCUCCAACCUCCAUCAUAUUGCAGUGCAUGCGGUUCUCCUGCUGUCACUGCUUCCUUCCCUACGUCUCACUCUUGUCUAUUCACGCCUCACUGUUUAUCUUUUACAAUAUCUUUGCUUAUUCUACCCAGUAUCUUUGCCCCCCAACUCCCCAUCAACCCUUCCUUUUGUAUUUAUUGCUGUAUUUAUUUCUGCUGAAAAGCCAGUCUAGUUCAUUUGCUAGUCGACCAGGCAGAGUAGGGCUCCUAUUCUUAGGCUUUUAUUAACAUCAUGGACUGCACAACAGCUACAGAAUCUAUUAUUCAUUAAGUGUAACCAAUAUAAAAUUUAAAACAGUCUGGGCUCUUUUUUUGGUGGAAAUAUGUAAGGUCAGCAUAAUUUUCUGCCUAUUACUAAUAUCUAUAUCAUCUUUUCCUUAGUCAGCUCCAUUUAAAUAUGCAAUCAUUUACAGCUUUUGACUAUAUGUGUGUGCACACCCAAUAUCCAAUAUUCCUCUACUAGACUUUUUAUGCUGACAUCAAUGGCAAGCUAUUAAAGACAGUAUUUCAUUAUUGGUUCUUCUUCCCCAGUGGUUAUUUACAAUCCCAUAUAUACUAAGCACUGAUAUUAAAGGAGACCAUUUUAAUGAGGUGCUAUCUGCCAUGGCAAUAUGUCUUUCUCCGAAUGAGAUUGUGUUUAAAGAUUUUAUCAAGAAAUGGCUGUUCGGCAGGGUUAUGUUUUGUCCAUGAAAUAUGCAUUUCAUAUCUCUUUCAUUUCAUUAACAUAAUUUAAUUUGUGCUUUGCAUUCUGUGCAUAAUACAUAUUUGAUUUACAAAACAAAUAUUUCCAUUAGAAAAUGAAUUUCAUGCGCGCAAAAGGCAGAACUGAAAGAUGUAUUGUAAAGAAGUAAGAGGAGAAAAGAAAACGAAUUGUAUUAUCUUUGACUCAGGGAAAAGAAGAAAUCAUUGGCAAGUAAAAAUACUCUCAAUAGAUUUCUUAUGUGUGUAUGCGUGGGGGGACACUCUGUUAUAUGUGCAUGUUUGUAUAGACAGUAUGUAAAUGGGAAAUAAAAGUCGUUGGUAUAUUGCAUGGAGUCUAGAGCCAUAUAACACAGAUUGAUUUACAUGACCUGCAUAGGGUUUCCCUCCCUGAUGUUAAGUUCACUCAUCAGAGUCACAUGACUUGUUUUGAAUCUUGAUUUUGUGUCCCUCCUUUUGAGAGUGAGACCUGUCUUAAGUGGGCAUUCUGUGGGGAGAAUCGUUGUGUGGGACGCGCACAUCAAGAGGCUUUAAUUUUUCCCAUCUCCAAGGUUUGUGCUCCAUGCAUAGGGCCAUCUUCUAUGCUUCCAGUUAAGAGCUGUUUAGCUCCUCUUCCUUGAGC
ensembl:lncRNA